rnacentral:rRNA from 1 species
UUUAAAAAGCGUCAAAGCUUAAUUUAACCUAAAUCCUAAAGAACCCUUAAUUAGUACUGAGUAUUUCCAUACUUUUAUAGAACUUUUUAUGUUAAAACUAGUAACAAGAAGCCCAACUUCUCUUGCAUAUAGAUGUAAGCCAGUAAAACCACUUUCUGACACUUAACAGUCAUAAUAAAUAGUAACAACCACGCAAGAAAACCUUACUAAACCCCCUGUUAACCUUACACAAGUAUAUCCAAAGAAAGAUUAAAAGAAAAAGAAGGAACUCGGCAAACAUUGAUUCCGCCUGUUUACCAAAAACAUCGCCUCUUGCAAACCUAUAAGAGGUCCAGCCUGCCCAGUGACUUUGUUCAACGGCCGCGGUACCCUGACCGUGCGAAGGUAGCACAAUCACUUGCCUUUUAAAUAAAGGCUGGUAUGAAAGGCAUCACGAGAAUCUAACUGUCUCCCUAUUCUAAUCAGUGAAACUAAUCCCUCUGUGAAAAAGCAGAGAUUUUAACGCAAGACGAGAAGACCCUAUGAAGCUUCAAACUAAAUACACCUACCCUUGCCCUUAUAAUUUCCAGAAAACCAAACUGAUGGCAGGCUGAUUGCAAGUUUUUGGUUGGGGUGACCGCGGAGCAAAACUUAUCCUCCACAAUGAAAUGAGGGAAACCUUAAACUAAUAGCCACAACUUAAAGAAUCAAUAAAUUGACAUUAUUGACCCAAUACUUUGAUCAAUGAACCAAGUUACUCUAGGGAUAACAGCGCGAUCCUCUUCAA